ACGCUAUGGCAGGAGCGCGGAUGAUUCCAGCCCAGGGUCCGGCAGAGAGGGCGCUCUGUAGCACACUGAGGUCUGAGAGUCCGCGUCCUGGCAUCUAAUUGAAUCUCUACUACGAUGUGGGUGGGUUCCAGCUCUCUCAGAAGCAGAUCCUGAGAGAAGGACUGAAGUGCAAGCAGCUAUGUGGGAGGUGAUCCCAGGAAACGCCUGUAGGGGAGAGGAAAAUGGAGCCGCCCAAGUCCCUGCAGGGACUUCACUGAGAAAUAAAUGACUGAGGCUUCCGCUGUGGACAACCGGGCUCAAGCCUGUUGGGACCUUCACGUCGACUGCUUGGCUGUGAUGUUUGGAGCUGGCACAGUCAUCUUAUCUCCUUGAAGCAUAACAUCAUCAACAUGCUGAGGAUGGAAGAGCAGAGAGCUGAAAGGAGCCUGGGCCCUGGUGAGCAUGUUUAAUUAGCAGAUCCCAACGGCAGAACCUAAGACACCAGAGGAAAAGUUCUCCCUCUUCUACAGUUCCUUGCUGCCCAAGCCAUCUUAUUUAAUAGGCAUACAAAGAAUCAGAAAUAAGAAUACCAUAAGACAUCUCAACAGCAAUAUGGAAAGUUAGAAUAUAGCAAAAUAUAUCUUCAAAGCUCAAAAAGACUACCAAUCACCAGUUGUGGUUUGUGAUUUGGACAGAUGAGGGUUUGGAUUCCGGACAUCCCAUCUUUGGGAAUGAACACACCACUAAUCUUAGGCAAGCUACUCAACCUUGUUCUCCACUGUGGACAACCAAGUGAUAUAA